rnacentral:lncRNA from 7 species
AGCCACAUCCAGCCAUCUUUCUGCAAAGCACAAUGUUGAGCACAGAACUGAUCUGUCGAAAGUUUACAGUAAAAAUUCAUUUGCUUUCGAGUUGAACUGCAACAGAAUUGCUCAUUCAAAGACAUUUUGCACACACCAUCUGUGCUAAUGUGCUUAUAAUUAAACUGCAAAAUAGUGAUACAGCUCAGAGAACAAAGUCAGGAAGAAGAAAGGAAAACAUGCCGUCAAAAUCAACUUUUCUAAAUCAGGGUUAGGCCAAUCUUAAAGGUAUAGCUGCUCUGUCACAUUUGUACAGGGCAAAAUUACAGUACUGUGUAUACCGAUACUGCAUUUCCUUACCUCAGUAUACUCCAACUUCUUUUAAACAUCACCUUACCAUCCUAGCCACAGAAUUUUUUUGCAUGUGUUUCUGUAAUUCAUACACCUUUGAAAUGUAUUUGAUCCUGCUGUUCACUGGUAUUUUCAGUCUGAACUCCUAACGUUCUUGUGUAGCACUACGUGUUUCCCAUUUGCUUAGUCUUAAGGCUUUCAUGAAGAAUUCUGUAGCAUUAGUAAUUGCAAUCAAAAGAGAAGAAAAUAAAUACCCUAAUCUUCUCCUACAUUUUUAUGUUUAGUAAUAAAAAUGCAAAAGUGAAAUGUACAUUUUCCCAGUGCUAUUGCUACUACAUGCAGCUACAUUUAUUUACUUUUUUCUUUGGAAAAGAAUGCUGCUUCACAUUGGACUAGAACUACAUAAUCAUCCUCUUCCUAUUAGGAAAGAAUAAACUCUGCUCUUGCUUGCUUCUUCAUGAACUGCGUUCUACAGUUCAGUUUUUCCAGCAAAAAAGCAACAAAUGCCUAAAGCUCUAUAGAAGAAAAAUUAUCACAAUAAAAUAUGAAGAAUUCUCUUUUCAACUGAGAAGAUGAAGGUGUGAGCUGCAGUACAGAUACAAAGUACUGCCAGAUGCCCUGCGUCUGUGGUCAGCUGGUGGUGCACUGACAAAGAAGAAACCAAGCACGGCGAGACAACUGUAUAGCCUCCACAUUCUUCAGCUGAGAUACUUCCAGUUCAAGGCCUCUCAAAGUCAAGCAGCUGGGAAAGAUGAGCUGAGCGCUCCUUGAGUUGCAGAGCAGCUGCAUGAGAAAGGAAAACUGCAUUUUCAACCGCCAAACAAAGAAUACUUUCAAAUUUGCAAAAGCAUCACAGUGCCUUUUUUGGAUGAUAUCACAAGGUGGUUUUAACUCUGUGAAGAAUGUCAUCCUGUUUUCAUUUGACUUCAAUGACAGUAUGAGCCAGUGGCCAUUUGCCUCGAUGCAUUACUGAGAGCUCCCAACCACUCACUGCCGACAUUUGUGCAGCAAUUCAACAAUUAAAGCAACAGCAAUACUUUCCACUUUUCUAGUUAAUAUUAGCAGAAGACACAACUACUCUUACGUGAUUACAAAUCAGUCAUUAAAUAACAUGUAGAUUUGACUUUAAACCAGAUCUCCAUUUUUCCUAAGUCCAAGCAUAUGGUGACAGAGGUCGUGCACUGAGAGCUGUUCAAAAACAGCUGGUUUAAAAUACAGGUCAAAAUAAUGAGCCUCUUUUUUAGCAAAGUCAGAAAAGAUUUCUGGCUAACAGUUCAGUGCACCAUCCUUUUUGAUAAUAAGCACAUAACAGCAAUUAGAACAACAGAGACAUUGCUCUAAUGCAGUUAGUUACACUUCAGGACAUGUCUGAAGAACUGUAUUCACAGUGCCUUUGAUAAACUCAUGACCAUC